rnacentral:pre_miRNA from 1 species
ACAACAUUCGGACCGUCGGUCGACCGAGCAAUAUCACCUGUUCGGUGGAAGGUCUUUCCUUUCGUCGU